UACGUAGGGCGCAAGCGUUGUCCGGAAUUAUUGGGCGUAAAGAGCUCGUAGGCGGUUUGUCGCGUCUGCUGUGAAAACCUAAGGCUCAACCUUGGGCUUGCAGUGGGUACGGGCAGACUAGAGUGCGGUAGGGGUGACUGGAAUUCCUGGUGUAGCGGUGGAAUGCGCAGAUAUCAGGAGGAACACCGAUGGCGAAGGCAGGUCACUGGGCCGCAACUGACACUGAGAAACGAAAGCCAGGGGAGCAAACGGG
rnacentral:rRNA from 1 species